rnacentral:rRNA from 1 species
UACGUAGGGUGCAAGCGUUAUCCGGAAUUAUUGGGCGUAAAGAGCUCGUAGGCGGUUUGUCGCGUUUGCUGUGAAAACUGGGGCGUCAACCCCUCAGCCUGCAGUGGGUACGGGCAGACUAGAGUGCGGUAGGGGAGAUUGGAAUUCCUGGUGUAGCGGUGGAAUGCGCAGAUAUCAGGAGGAACACCGAUGGCGAAGGCAGAUCUCUGGGCCGUAACUGACGCUGAGGAGCGAAAGCAUGGGGAGCGAACAGG